UACGGAGGGUGCAAGCGUUGCUCGGAAUCACUGGGCGUAAAGGGUGCGUAGGCGGCUUGGUAAGUUGGGUGUGAAAGCCCCGGGCUCAGCCCGGGAAGGGCACUCGAAACUGCCGAGCUGGAGUGCCGGAGGGGAGAGUGGAAUUCCUGGUGUAGCGGUGAAAUGCGUAGAUAUCAAGAGGAACACCGGUGGCGAAGGCGGUUCUCUGGGCAUGUCCUGACGCUGAGGAGCGAAAGUGUGGGGAGCGAACAGG
rnacentral:rRNA from 1 species